rnacentral:lncRNA from 1 species
AGCCCCCGCAGAACACGGCUUCCUCUUUCCCUGGCUUAACCUUCUCUUUCUUAAUCCUUUCCGAUGACCUGAGUCCACCGAUUUUUUUUUUUUUUUCCAAUUUCUAAGCAAUUAAUUUUUGGGCCUGGGCGCGCGAUCCACAGGUGUGGAGGCUGGCAGUUCGCUGAUGGGUUCCGUCUGUCGGUGCUGAUAACGGCCUCCGGGGGGCUCCUGGGUGGGGUCUCCACCCUGAGAGAAGCAGGCAGCUUCCCCAUCUAUCCGCAGGCGGGCGGCCAAAGCCUGGCAGCUCACGCAGUUAUUCAACAGGAACAACCGGAUACAGAUUGCACGUUUAGCGGGACAGUGCGGAGGUGUGCGGGUCAGGGAGGGGGCAGUGGUCCCACAAAGAGUGAGUGAUGCUUCCUCCAAAGUCCGCGGUGUUUUUUCCUCUUUAGGGGGGAAAAAAAAGACUGGAUAGAGAAACAGGAAUUUUGUGACAGUUCUAGGGGGAGAACUUGAAUUCCUGACUCUCCUUGGCUUCACACUUUAAGAGAGAAAGAUGAGGGAGGUGGGUAGUUAUAAUAAGUACAAUUAUAAUAAUUGUGAUAUAACAACAAUUAUUCGUUGUGAUGGGCUUCCCAGGUGACACAGUGGUAAAGAAUCUGCCUGCCAAGCAGGAGACCUGGGUUUGAUCGCUGGAUCGGGAAGCUGCCUUGAAGAAGAAAAUGGCAACCACUCCAGUAUUCUUGCCUGGAGAAUUCCAUGGACAGAAGAGCCUGACAGGCUACAGUCCAUGGGUCUCAAAAGGGUUGGAGGACUUAGCAACUAAAUAACAAAAUACACAAACACAGAUUGGCAGGGCUGGCCUCGGAGCCUCUGGAGAGAUUUGCCUGGACUGAAAGAACUCGCAUCAUUUCCUGGAAAGAAUCUCAGGUGAAGCAAACGUAAUGGACCAUUUGUCUAAACAGCACUAUGCUUGUGGACUUUAAGUGUGAAAACAGAUCCAAGACGCAAUCAUCCACCUCCAACAGAUUCAAGACGCAAUCAGCUACCUCCAUACUAGGGAGCAGGAUGGUGGGGAGACAGGAGAGGAUGCUACUAUAUGUGCUGGAAACAUAUCAGCUGGGAGCGUGCUGGUUCUUUCUGUGGCUUUGCACUCACUGGCUGUGACCUUGACAUCUUUUGACAUCCCUGGGCUUCACUUUUCUCAUCUGUUAAGUGAGAUCCAUGCUCUCUGAAGGGCUCUCCAGG